rnacentral:lncRNA from 1 species
CACCACCACCCAGACCUGCUCAGCACCUGAAACAUUCACAGCCGUGGAGAGAGAACUGUUCACUGCUACCAUCCACACUUCUGGGCCCCUUCAGCAGCAGGGUGACAAGGAAGAGGGAAAUCGACUUGGAAAAGAGGGGACCUCUGACCCAAGAGUUCGGUCAAUGCAUAUGUUGGCAGCCAGCUGCACAUCGCACCAAAUAUGAACUUCAAAUAGAAGAAAGCCUCAUUUGGAAGAAAGCUCAUGCACAGACUGUAAAUAUUUCAGAGCAGAUUGUGUCUCUGUAGAUUAAGUAAGUUGUGAAAGUCUGAACCUCUGCCAAAAUUUUAAGACCUUGACCUUUACA